rnacentral:rRNA from 1 species
GACGAACGCUGGCGGCGUGCUUAACACAUGCAAGUCGAACGGUAAGGCCCUUCGGGGUACACGAGUGGCGAACGGGUGAGUAACACGUGGGUGAUCUGCCCUGCACUUCGGGAUAAGCCUGGGAAACUGGGUCUAAUACCGGAUAGGACCACUGCCUGCAUGGGUGGUGGUGGAAAGCUUUUGCGGUGUGGGAUGGGCCCGCGGCCUAUCAGCUUGUUGGUGGGGUGAUGGCCUACCAAGGGGACGACGGGUAGCCGGCCUGUGGGGGUGACCGGCCACACUGGGACUGAGAUACGGCCCAGACUCCUACGGGAGGCAGCAGUGGGGAAUAUUGCACAAUGGGCGCAAGCCUGAUGCAGCGACGCCGCGUGAGGGAUGACGGCCUUCGGGUUGUAAACCUCUUUCAGCACCGACGAAGCGCAAGUGACGGUAGGUGCAGAAGAAGGACCGGCCAACUACGUGCCAGCCGCCGCCGUAA